AUUUAUAUAGUUUAAAUAAAACAUUGUAUUUUCAUUACAAAAAAAGAUUUCAUCUUAUAAAUA
rnacentral:tRNA from 1 species